GGGCCAUAGCUCAGCGGUAGAGCAUCUGCCUUGCAAGCAGGAGGUCCCAGGUUCCCAGGUUCAAUCCCCAGCAUCUCUA